GCCAGCAGCCAUAUCACCCUGCAGCUCUCAACUGGCUACCCACUAAAGCAAAGCAGGGUUGAGCAUGGUCAGUACCUGGAUGGGAGAUCUCCUGGGGAGCUAUGGUUGCUGCUGGAA
rnacentral:rRNA from 1 species